CUUAUACACGGAGAGGCUUAUAUUGGGGUAGUCUUAUAUUCGGAGCUUUACGGUAUAACACAUGCAAACACCUAAAUAGAAUAUUAUAAUACUGUAGUCAAUAAAUAACAAGUAUAGACACGCAAACAAAAGCGAAUGAUGAAAUAGAAUAGUUAAAAUCAAAUACUAAAUUUGAAUUCAAAUCAAAAUCAACUCAAAUCAAAAUAGAGACAAUGUCAAUAACUUGUUACGAAACAUCAUCACUCGCCUUUAUUUGAACGCUCUAUAUCAAAGUUUACUUGAUUACCUAUGACAAUAGCAUCCACGUACAAAAAUCCACGUCCAAUUUAAAUAAGUCCUUUAUGAACUUUUUGAACAGCGAUAAACUUAAAAGGCUAUUCGGAGGAGCAGCGAGAAUGAUGUGGUUCCAAAGCUUGACGAUGAUGACAUGAAAUAUGAUGAAUGCAACGUGCUGGUUCGACAGUAUGGUGUUUCUAGCGUUCUCACUUC
rnacentral:lncRNA from 1 species